UCAAUCCUACGGGGGGCAGCAGUGAGGAAUAUUGCACAAUGGGGGAAACCCUGAUGCAGCGACGCCGCGUGAGUGAAGAAGUAUUUCGGUAUGUAAAGCUCUAUCAGCAGGGAAGAAAAUGACGGUACCUGACUAAGAAGCCCCGGCUAACUACGUGCCAGCAGCCGCGGUAAUACGUAGGGGGCAAGCGUUAUCCGGAUUUAUUGGGUGUAAAGGGUGCGUAGACGGGAAAUUAAGUUAGUUGUGAAAUCCCUCGGCUUAACUGAGGAACUGCAACUAAAACUGGUUUUCUUGAGUACUGGAGG
rnacentral:rRNA from 1 species